UCCCCCCUUGUUCCAGUAGCUCAGUGGUAGAGCGGUCGGCUAUUAACUGACUGGUCGUAGGUUCGAAUCCUACUUGGGGAG